GAUGAACGCUAGCGGCAGGCCUAAUACAUGCAAGUCGAACGGGAUCUGAGGGUAGCUUGCUACCCGAUUUGAGAGUGGCGCACGGGUGCGUAACGCGUGAGCAACCUACCCAUAUCAGGGGGAUAGCCCGAAGAAAUUCGGAUUAACACCGCAUAAUAAUACGCUAACACAUGUUGAUGUAUUUAAAUAUUUAUAGGAUAUGGAUGGGCUCGCGUGACAUUAGCUAGUUGGUAAGGUAACGGCUUACCAAGGCGACGAUGUCUAGGGGCUCUGAGAGGAGAAUCCCCCACACUGGUACUGAGACAAGGACCAGACUCCUACGGGAGGCAGCAGUAAGGAAUAUUGGUCAAUGGGCGCAAGCCUGAACCAGCCAUGCCGCGUGCAGGAUGACUGCCCUAUGGGUUGUAAACUGCUUUUGUUAGGGAAUAAACCUUCUUACGUGUAAGGAGCUGAAUGUACCUAAAGAAUAAGGAUCGGCUAACUCCGUGCCAGCAGCCGCCGUAAUAC
rnacentral:rRNA from 1 species